UGGGGAAUAUUGGACAAUGGGCGCAAGCCUGAUCCAGCCAUGCCGCGUGAGUGAAGAAGGCCCUAGGGUUGUAAAGCUCUUUCACCCGCGAAGAUGAUGACGGUAGCGGGAGAAGAAGCCCCGGCUAACUCCGUGCCAGCAGCCGCGGUAAUACGGAGGGGGCAAGCGUUGUUCGGAAUUACUGGGCGUAAAGGGCGCGUAGGCGGUCUGUUGCGUCAGGUGUGAAAGCCCCGGGCUCAACCUGGGAGGUGCACUUGAUACGGGCAGGCUAGAAUCCGGGAGAGGAUGGUGGAAUUCCCAGUGUAGAGGUGAAAUUCGUAGAUAUUGGGUGGAACACCAGUGGCGAAAGCGGCUCUCUGGUCCGGAUCUGACGCUGAGGCGCGAAAGCGUGGGGAGCAAACAGGAUUAGAUACCCCCGUAGUCC
rnacentral:rRNA from 1 species